CCUGCUUGAUACUCGGCUAAAACCUUUCACGUCCUGUGAAAAACGCCCAGUACCUUCCUCCUGAAGG
rnacentral:sRNA from 2 species